GACGAACGCUGGCGGCGUGCUUAACACAUGCAAGUCGAACGCGCCUGUCCUCUGGGUUUCUGGGGGGUGGGUGAGUGGCGAACGGGUGAGUAACACGUGAGUAACCUGCCCCCUUCUUCGGGAUAACGGUCUGAAAGGGCUGCUAAUACCGGGUAUUCACUGGUCUCCGCAUGGGGUCUGGUGGAAAGGUUUUUUUCUGGUGGGGGAUGGGCUCGCGGCCUAUCAGCUUGUUGGUGGGGUGAUGGCCCACCAAGGCUUUGACGGGUAGCCGGCCUGAGAGGGUGACCGGUCACAUUGGGACUGAGAUACGGCCCAGACUCCUACGGGAGGCAGCAGUGGGGAAUAUUGCACAAUGGGCGCAAGCCUGAUGCAGCGACGCCGCGUGAGGGAUGGAGGCCUUCGGGUUGUGAACCUCUUUCGCCCGUGGUCAAGCCGCGACGUGGGUCGUGGUGAGGGUAGUGGGUAAAGAAGCGCCGGUUAACUACGUG
rnacentral:rRNA from 1 species